GCGAGGUGAUGAUAGAAAUUCAUGUCUGUCAAUCCACUGACUGUCAUAGUGUGAUGACCUCGUGAAUCCCGACAGGUUCUGAUCGC